UCCUACGGGAGGCAGCAGUGGGGAAUAUUGGACAAUGGGGGCAACCCUGAUCCAGCCAUGCCGCGUGUGUGAAGAAGGCCCUCGGGUUGUAAAGCACUUUCAGCGAGGAAGAACGCCUAGCGGUUAAUACCCGCUAGGAAAGACAUCACUCGCAGAAGAAGCACCGGCUAACUCCGUGCCAGCAGCCGCGGUAAUACGGAGGGUGCAAGCGUUAAUCGGAAUUACUGGGCGUAAAGCGCGCGUAGGUGGCUUGAUAAGCCGGUUGUGAAAGCCCCGGGCUCAACCUGGGAACGGCAUCCGGAACUGUCAAGCUAGAGUGCAGGAGAGGAAGGUAGAAUUCCCGGUGUAGCGGUGAAAUGCGUAGAGAUCGGGGGGAAUACCAGUGGCGAAGGCGGCCUUCUGGACUGACACUGACACUGAGGUGCGAAAGCGUGGGUAGCAAACAGGAUUAGAUACCCUGGUAGUCCACGCCGUAAACGAUGUCGACCAGCCGUUGGGUGCCUAGCGCACUUUGUGGCGAAGUUAACGCGAUAAGUCGACCGCCUGGGGAGUACGGCCGCAAGGUUAAAACUCAAAUGAAUUGACGG
rnacentral:rRNA from 1 species